rnacentral:rRNA from 1 species
UACGAAGGGGGCUAGCGUUGCUCGGAAUGACUGGGCGUAAAGGGCGCGUAGGCGGUUCGUACAGUCAGACGUGAAAUUCCCGGGCUCAACCUGGGGGCUGCGUUUGAUACGUGCGGGCUUGAGUUCGGAAGAGGGUCGUGGAAUUCCCAGUGUAGAGGUGAAAUUCGUAGAUAUUGGGAAGAACACCGGUGGCGAAGGCGGCGACCUGGUCCGAUACUGACGCUGAGGCACGAAAGCGUGGGGAUCAAACAGG